UGACCUCGAUCAGGUAGAUUUACCCGCUGAACUUAAGCAUAUCAAUAAGCGGAGGAA
rnacentral:rRNA from 1 species